UCAUUUGGGAAGGAUUGGUGCCGCAAGAUGCAGCGAAAAUCAUUAAGUGUUAAUAGAAAAGUUGUUAAGUUAAUCGUGACAGAUGUCAACGCAGGCGUAAGUGCCGUUUUUUUUGUUACUUGAACUACGGCUAUUUCAUUACCAUAGCUCCUGAUAACAGAUCAAAGCUGGUGAAUCGGGCUUACAGAGUCGCCGUUUAACUUAAAAUAUCUUAGUGAUCGGCAAACGCAUCAAACAGCAAGUGUUUUUCUUCCAACAGCACGCGCCAUCAGUGGAGCAAGCUGCUAACUUUUUGUUCGCCCAGCACGCACCAUCCAGAAUUGAAAUAUUCCCGAAUAGCUCUGUGAAUAAAAAACUGCACAAUUACUGUCCGAAUUUCCUGGAAUUUUUUUAUCGAUCUACGCUUGCAGGAAUGGUGUGUCCGUUGAGGAGAAGGAAUGAAAGGGUAGGAGUGAGGAUUAACCAAAAACGCGGCAUUGAGAAUGAGGGGAGGUGCGCUCAGCGCUCACGCUGGGACACUCACGAUGCUUGAAAUAAAACCCUCUUGGCAGAAAUCGCCUGUACACUCUGCCUCUCGCUACCCCCGCUCUACACUUGCGAGCUAUCAUGCGACACACUCGCACACUUCCAUACGUCUCCACCCCUGAACGCUCCCAUCGUUGAGGUGUUAAGCAAAAAUCCGCUCUGAGCUUGCGAGACACACUCGCACUCCACCAACCCCCCAUGACCGAUUGCUCCCGUCAUUGCGAUGAUGGGUUAUUGUUACAUCUGUGUGUGAGAUCCUCGCUCUCACUCCGCCAUGCCUUACCAACCUAUUUCAUGCCGCAAUGCUUCCACAUUUGCGGUGAUGGUAAAAUUUUCAAUCUGAUGAGAGAGCGAAAGAAACUAUGGGCGGAUCAUAGUACUAUUUGGCAAAACAGAAAUAAAACUGAUAAGCAUAAUUUGACUUAUAGUGUCAGUGUGUGUGCAAGCGUAAAGGCGUUAAAUUGGUUUAAAUUAGCAGGUAAGUUGUGUAAAGUGUGAUGAUUGCUGGUGUUUUUUUUUCUUUUUCAGUUUAUAAACUGUAUAUUGUUAUAGGAUCCAGGAAUCCAGUUCGUACCCGGUUGGCAAAGAGUAACUCAUUUUAAUGCCUCUCGCUACCCCUGGCCUUAG